rnacentral:rRNA from 1 species
GACGUAGGAGGCGAGCGUUGUCCGGAUUCAUUGGGCGUAAAGAGCGCGCAGGCGGUCGUUCAAGUCGAGUGUGAAAGCCCCCGGCUCAACUGGGGAGGGUCACUCGAUACUGAUCGACUCGAAGGCAGGAGAGGGAAGUGGAAUUCCCGGUGUAGUGGUGAAAUGCGUAGAUAUCGGGAGGAACACCAGUGGCGAAGGCGACUUCCUGGACCGACACUGACACUGAGGAGCGAAAGCCAGGGGAGCAAACGGG